rnacentral:tRNA from 1 species
GGCUAGGUAGCUCAGCCCGGUAGAGCGCUGCCCUGAAAAGGCAGGCGUCGGCGGUUCAAAUCCGUCCCUAGCCACCA